rnacentral:lncRNA from 10 species
CGCCAAUCCUCUUCCAUGCAGACCCAGCUUCCUGCACCCUCAGCUCUUCCUGCAGAGAGCUCAUUCUAACCCACAAACCUGACCCUGCCAGAUCCUUGCUUCAAAGGCUCCCCAUCGUGGGCAGCACAGAGUCUGCAGUCUUGGGCGAAGUCAAGGUCGCCGUGGCUUAACCUCUGCUUCCCUCCUGAUGCCCCCACUUCUGACUCAUUUUUCUGCAUCCCCAUGGUACCUCAUAUCUUAUCUCUGCUAUGGCACCUCUCCCUUCAGCAACACCGGGAUUCUGAACUGCUGAUACAGAAAGAGCGCUCCAGGACUGUCCUCAACAUCUGUAUUCACAUCCUCUGGCAGGUUUCUCCUACAAAGCUGCUGGCCUGUGGGAGGUUCACCUGAUCCCCGUGUUAGAGUCCUGGUUUGCUGCAUCACGGACUUCAUCAGGGGCUGAGUUUGCUGGUUGUGCAAGGACGGCUCUGACAGCCGUGUCAAAACUAUGAAGGCGGCAUGGCCCACCUGCUGAAGAUGUCACAGUGGAAAGGCUUGGUGAAGCAAGCGGUUAUAUCGGAGGUCCACAUGGCAAGGAGCUGAAGAUAACUUUUGGGAGCCGAGUGUGGCCCCCAGUUGAUAGCUGCCACAAGGGAUGGAGACUCACAGUCAUAUAGCUGCAGGGAACUGAAUGCUGCUGACAUCCAAGCGAGCCUUGAAGUGGCUCUUCCCGGGUUGAGUUUCCAGAUGGAAACUCAGCCCUGAACAAUACUUUGAUUGCAGCCUUGCAGCUGGGCUUGACCUCCUGACCCUGAAAAACUGUGAGAUGGCAUAUGAGAAAAUUGAAUCUCAGAGAGGCUAACUGACUUGUCCAGCAUCACGUGAAUGGCAGAACUGACAUUUGAAACUGGAGCCUGUUUGAAUGGCAAGCUUGGCUGGGGUCAGGUCUGCUCUAUGCAUAUUUCAUCCUCCAUGGACCAGAGCUGAUUUUUGUCAUGGUGACGACAGUAGCAUGAGAAGAAAGAACCCCACUGUGCAAGCACACUCGUCUCUGGUCUCUAUUACGGUCACUAACAACCUACUGGCCAGAGCAAGUCACGUGGUCCAGCCUAACAUCAAUGGAACAGGGAAAUAUACCUUGCUUCUAGAAGGAGGCAAGUUUUGGCAUCUUCACCAC